UUACCUUCAUUGGAUCUGAUCACUGAUUUGUCCAGUUUGGUGUUGAUGUCUUUGACACCAGACAGCUGAAACACACAGUCGUACUUCUUCCAGUCUUCAUCAGCGAUUGAUGAAAUCUUCAGGUCAACACUCAUCUGGAAGGUUCCAUCAUGGUUGGGGAGGAUCUCUCCUUUGUCCACGUCCUCAUGAAGCUCCUCUCCAUCUUUCCUCCAGAACAAGUCGGCUCUGUCGGGGUAGAAACCUGUAGCGUGGCAGGUGACCGGAGAGGAGGAAGUCUUCUGGAGGAGAGACACUGAGGGAAGAUCUG